CCAGUGCCACAUGUCAAAGAUGAAGAUGUAAAAGAACCAGUUUUGUUGACCAGCUGGAGGAUGUGGCCUGUGGUAGCACUGUACACCAGUGCCAUCUUCCCCUAAUUAUCGUGAGAUUUCCAUGAACCCAUAAAGGGCAUUGGUGUUUCCAUACAAAGCCAUGAUGUAACUAGUCAGUAUACUCUCCACCAUACAUCGAUAGAGGUUUGGUCAAAGUUUUAGAUGACUCGCAAACUUGUUAGAAGUGAGAGGAGGUACACUUUGUCAGAGCUUCUUUGACAGAUACCUCCCAAACCCAAGCUGUGCACCAUCCGGAUAGACAAGGUGCUGCCUGACAAGUUGAGUCCCUCCAGCAUUUUGAGUGUGUUGCUCUGGAAUACGCUGCCUUGGAAGGUUGUGGAGGCUCAGUCAUUAGUGGUAUCUGAAGGGGAAGCGGAUUUAUUUUUCAAGGAUCAGUGAACUGAGGGUUUAAGGGGAACAUGAGUUAAUGAGGAGAUGAGACCUGGGGUAGAUCAGCUAUGAUCAUGUUGGACAGGACUGAGGGGCUGAGUGGCUUACUCCUGUUCUGGUUUCCUCCCACAUCCAAAAGGUGUUGUGGAUGGGUCGUUAAAAUGGCUACUGUAAAUAAUAGGUGAUUGGUAGACUCUGUGGGAACUUCGUGGGAAUGUGGGAAAAAUAAAAUGAGAUUAGUGUAAAUAGGUACUUGCUGGUCAGCCCAGACUCAGUGGAUCGACGGGUACGAAUGACUCUGUCAUCUUCGUAAGACCGUCACCCCAUCCGUUCUGAAUGCAAGCAAAGGAAGUUUGUGACGGCUGUCAACGACCUAUAGAAGACCGUUUUCUGAUGCGGGUGAACGAUGCUUCCUGGCACGAACAUUGCUUGCAAUGUACAGUAUGUCAACAACCACUCACCAGGAGCUGUUAUUUUCAAGACAGAAAACUUUACUGCAAACCUGACUAUGAACAGUAAGUCUGUGCACAUUUCAAAGAUACUGAACUGCAAGGAUACUGCACUACUUAGUCUUCAAUAGUUUGGUUUGAAGGCCUUGUCUAACAUAAAGCCACAACUCAUCCCUUUUUU